rnacentral:rRNA from 1 species
AUGCGUGAUCAGGUCGGCAUCGACCUGGAUGGCUUCCCCCUCGACCACGAGUUCCCGGAGGACUAUGGGCUAGAGGAAGAGGACGAGUGCGACAUCGAAGUGGAGCCUUUGUUCGAGGACGAGCUCGCCAACCAAACCGCCGGUCCUAAGCCGAAGCGCAAGAGCAAGCGCACGAAGGCGUACACAGCUGCCAAGGACAAGCUUCUUUGCGAGUGUUGGCGAGACAUUGGACAAGACCCAAAGACGGGCGCCGAGCAAAAGCAUUCGACCUUUUGGACUCGUGUGCACCGAGAGUUUCAUGAGCGCAAGAAGUUUCCACCUUACCAAUUUGUGAGCACGCGCGGGUGGGUCUCCAUUUUCAAGCGGUGGAGGGUGAUCCAACAAGAGUGCAACAAGUUUUGCGCCACCCUUGAGAGCGUCAAGGCCCGCCCCGUGAGCGGCAUCGGCAUGCAAGACAUGGUAUGA